GGCAAAUUAAAGUCUCUAAUUCACAGGUAUAUUCUUCUUAAAUUCUCAGGACGUCUUGGGUCAAGUUCUCAUCAGCAUAUAUGAAAGAGAAAAAAACAUACAGAGGGGACCAAUGGUGCAGUAACGUAAAGGAGUAUGGCUACAGACAACACUGAGAUUAAAAAAUGCCAACUCACAUUUGUGGGAGCUAUAACCAGCUCGAGUAAAACAGCAUACAGUGGUAUUUAAACUCCCCACAUGCAGGAUAUUCC